rnacentral:lncRNA from 1 species
CCAUAGAUAUAUGCACAGAUUUCUCCGCAGUUUCCUCCGCAGACUCUUAUAGCUUCUCCUCCUCAUACUCUCUUUAAUCGUAAAUCCAUGCUCAUGUAAAUGAAUUAGCAUAUAAGAUGAUUAUAUGAUCACCGAUACUCUUAUCAAAUUAGGGGUUUUUGCUUCAAAUUAGGGGUUUCCAAUUUAAUUGUCCCAGUCUGUCAAUCGACGAAAACUUCCGAUGAGGACUACAAAGGUGCGUCUAAAAGGUACGACAGAUCAUUAUAGAGUUUCGAACUCUUUUAUAAAUUGUCUGAAUUGCAGCUGUUAAGCCAUAGAUGUUUUCCUUAUAUUAUGGGUUUCAAUGUGUUAAUAUAGUAAUUGUAUAUCGCAAGCAGUGUUAAGGACAAACAAUUAUUCGUUUUUUAUUAAGUUUCUGUAUGUAGUCUGAUUUACAGCUUUAUGAGUGUAAAAUUAUCCAGAUACAGUUGGCAGAGCAUAUAGGAGAUUAUAAAGAAAUCAUGUGAGAAACUUCAGCCUCAUCGGAACCACUAAUAUUUGAAAAAGUAAAGAUAACACAAAUACUACAUUACCCUAUCUUUUCAAACAAGUCUGAAUUUUUUUUGGGUUUUAGUGGAAAUGUGAACUAGUGCAUAGACAAGGGAGACGCAUCCAAGUAUGCAACACACUAAUCCUCGUCAUCAACUUCUCUGGACGCACCAAUUACCUCAUUCUGCUUGCUUGCUCGGCUCCUUUCGUCUUCCGACCGGA